UUAAAGAGUUCUAUAACUCCCAAACCCAUGUGAACAUACCUAACGUUGCCUCGGCAGGUCGCACCUACCUUGUAGCACCCUACCCUGUAGGGCCUACCCGGGAGGUGCGGGUAAGCCUGCCGGCGGCCCACCAAACUCUGUUUGAUAUUGAAUUCUGAACCUAUAACUAAAUAAGUUAAAACUUUCAACAACGGAUCUCUUGGUUCUGGCAUCGAUGAAGAACGCAGCGAAAUGCGAUAAGUAAUGUGAAUUGCAGAAUUCAGUGAAUCAUCGAAUCUUUGAACGCAUAUUGCGCCCAUUAGUAUUCUAGUGGGCAGGACCGUUCGAGCGUCAUUUCAACCCUUAAGCCUUCGUUGCUUAGUGUUGGGAGCCUACGGCAACGUAGCUCCUCAAAGUUAGUGGCGGAGUUAGUUCACACUCUAGACGUAGUAAUUUUUUAUCUCGCCUAUUAGUUGGACUAAUCCCCUGCCGUAAAACCCCCAAUUUAUCAAGGUUGACCUCGAAUCGGUUCAGACAAACUCGCUAAAUUGAAGCAUCUUAGUCAGCGAAGGAAAAGAAACCAACAGGGAUUGCCCUAGUAACGGCGAGUGAAGCGGCAACAGCUCAAAUUU
rnacentral:rRNA from 1 species